rnacentral:rRNA from 1 species
UACGGAGGGGGCGAGCGUUAUUCGGAAUUAUUGGGCGUAAAGGGCGCGUAGGUGGCCCGGUAAGUCAAAGGUGAAAUCCCUCGGCUCAACUGAGGAAUUGCCUUUGAAACUGCCAGGCUCGAGGCCGGGAGGGGGUAGCGGAAUUCCCAGUGUAGCGGUGAAAUGCGUAGAUACUGGGAGGAACACCAGUGGCGAAGGCGGCUACCUGGACCGGUUCUGACACUGAGGCGCGAAAGCGUGGGGAGCAAACAGG